rnacentral:tRNA from 1 species
UCCCGGGUAGCUCAAUGGUAGAGCAACUGGCUGUUAACCAGUAGGUUGUCGGUUCGAGCCCGACCCCGGGAG